rnacentral:misc_RNA from 1 species
GUACUCUCAUACUUCUCCACUUGAGAAGUGGUGGACUUGGAUGUUGCCGCUUUACUGUCAGGCUCAUCUCAAAUUGUUUAGUGCAGCCUGGUUUGGACAUAGUAACUUACCACACAGCGUGAUAAGUAUCUUCGCUAGUGUGCCUCUCAAAAGGAGGGUGUCUAAUACUGGGUUCUGUGCUUCAAACCGUCUUCUGACAAUCUCUGACA